AACCAGGUCCUUGCACACUGUAACUAGUGUGCUCAACCAGGUGCACCACCACCCGGCCCCUGGAUUUUCUUUUAUAUCUAACAAUUUGUAAAGCUAAGCACAUUUUUUACUGGAAAGUACUUGAAAGUAUUUUUUCCCUGAACUGUUAUACUGAAAGGCAACACAGUCAGAAAAUACACAUGCUAAAAAAAUAGUUAAACUACUUCUUUUACUUAUGAUAUUUGUGGAAGAUAUUAAAACAAAAAAAUACUGCAAAUUUUAAGAGGCACAUAACAUGCGUUGCUUUAAAAGUUCCAAAAAAGGAAGUUAAUAUCAGCAUAUUGAAACAACUGGAAUCCUGAGGUCCCUGUUUGGCUGUUUGAUAAAACUGUGUUCUCUGAACUUUUUUUUUUUUUUUCAGAGGAAGAGAAAGACCUGAAUUUUCAACACUCGUCAUGGGUUGAUGAUGGAGGAAUGAUAUUCAGUGGCCUGUUCAGCUUGUCUGAGAGGGAGCUUGUCACUUUGUAAUAAAAAUAUUUAAAGCUCUUGACUCCAACCCCCACUACUACUGCUGGCUUCAUGAGAGCAGAAAGGGCCAGAGAGAAGAGACUGUGUUCAGACACAAUACCAAGCAACACAUUCUCCAAUUUUUGAACCAUAGCAUUAGGGGCAUAUAAAGGAACAAUGAGAAGAAUUAAGAUCAGUACUCGCUCUGGUGAGAGGUGUAUGUCUAACAGCGAAGUCUCUGUGACUAAGUCAGCUAUGAGUAAUCACCAGGGGUGAGCCACACUUCCUUUUCCCCUCCUUGGGGAGUUCUGAUCAUGUGAAACAGAAAUCAAGAGGACCCUGACUUACUGAACCUCCAUCUACUUCUUUUCUCUUUUUCUAAAGUUGUGUGUCAAAGUCCAGGCAAGAGCAAAUCACUAUUGGGAGCCUCGGAAUGUGGAAGAACAGGCAGGUUAUUCAGGGACUGUCGACAGGGGUGUUUGUUGUGCUUUAAUAAGGGCAUCAGAGAAGAGAAGCAGGUCUGAAUUCAGUUCAAGGGCAGUUUCAAAUGAUCCAAUCAAGUUUCAUGAGGAAUGACAGACUUCAAUUGAUUUUUUUUUUCAAACUUUCAUUGAUUUUUAUCUUCAUUCUUGUUUAAAAUCAAGAUUUCAGAGUCAUUUUUUUUUUAAACUUUGCUUUCAUGUCAGAAGCUUUUUUUGGGGAAUUAAGAGGUAAAUCUGCCAUUAGGUUAGAGGCUCUUCUGCAACAGUCAAUAGGUGAAUAGCUUCAUCUGCAUAUAUUUAAAUGCAUUCUUUCCUCACAUUCAAUUAAAAGAUACAUGAGAGAACAAGGCCAAUUAAAAGGGCUGACAGAGAAAAUCAGAGAUUAUCUACCUGAGAUCAGACUUUGACAUUCUAGAAUAAAAAGUCAACCCCUAAACCUUUGAAAUAAACACCUUUCUACUAUGCAUUAUGAAUGGCACUUAGAGAGCAGGAAACUCUACUCCGAGUUUUAUUGAAACAAUUUUUCACCAUGCAAGUUGUCGCAUACUGAUGUUAAUCAGCUUGAAAAAAUAUAUAUUUCCGAGAGAAAUUCUCAAAAAGAGGUUUGUUUUUCUUCUGAGUCCAAUGAUGGAAAAGACACAGGCCCACAAAGAGCUGGAUUUCCUUUGUUCAUUAUGGCUGGAGGUUGGGGGCAGGUGACAGGAUACUGAUCAAUUGGGUUGGAUUUUACUCUAGCAGUUAAAGGUGGUUUGGAAACAGAGUAACAGCCUCAGGGGUUCAAUUCCCCAGCAACUUCUCCAAGGCCUCACCCUUGACACAGUGGAGCUUAGUUAAGAGCCAAUAAAGGCCUUGUUCUCCCUAGGCUACAAUUGUAGAAGCUAAGAGUUUGGGUAGGCUGGAAAAUUUGAUUUUGAGACCCUCAAAAAAACCCUCCCACUGUUCCAAAAUCCAACUUCUGCUUUGCUAACCUCCCCUCCCCACCAAAUGUGUAAGAGACUGACACUCUCUGUACAGGCGGAGAGCUUGCUCUUCCUUUAUAAAGUCCAAUCCCUGGCUGUGCAAUAAUCCACAUCUACUGAAAUACAGAAACCCAUGUGGUAGCUUUGACUUUGUGUGGCGGUGGGCACAGGGCCUCAGCUUUGUUUGGCUUUAGAUGGUUCUAUGGACAAGACAGUCAUUAAUAGGCUACCUCUAUAGUCUUCCCUUCCCCCCAUUAACUCCAACUCCCUAUGGAUGAAGCAAAAUUAAAUAUGCCAAAUAAUAAAUAGAUAUUUCUUAAGAUUUUACAGUGCACAUAUGAGUGGUGAUCUCUGAAUAAAAGGUUCAUCUGUU